GGGAGGUGGGAGUCAUCCCAAAUCUCCUCUCUAAGCUCCUAACAACUCUCAAACCUGGUCCCUGUUUCCAUGGCCAUCUCCGCACCGUGUUAGCUCAGGUCCAGUCCUCCAUAUUAAUACUGAAGGAAUUUCUCCACACAUCUGAACAACUGCCCAUCUCUCUCCAGGUCUGAGCUGUUGGGAAACGAGCGAGCAGUCGCCAACUACACAGCACUGUUCAAAAACGAAAGCUCAGGAAAGGAUGGAAAAAGACCGAGAGCUAGACAUCCACGGACCGGAGGAGAUGAUGGUGAUAUACACGCUAAUACAUGAUGCAUGUAAAGAGCUUGCCUAGCAUGUGCCAAGCCCUGGGUUCCCUCUCUAGCAGUCCCGAGUCACAGUAGGAGUGGGGAGAACCUCUGCACUGGUAAAGCUUCACCCCAACCCCAGACAUUCAUAUACCCAGAGUCUGGAAUGUUCUCGUGGAAGCUCUACCCCAAGCCUCCUCCCCAUCUCUCUCCAAAUCCUGUUGCAUCUCAGAAAGCCCGCCAAAUGAUGACCCCUCCCCCAGAGGUGCUCAAGACCACGCCCACAGUGUAUUUAGACUGUACUCCAAAAAACAGACAGGUCUUCCUUUUCGGUCUCCUUUCUGGAGGGUUGUAAAAUUA